ACAUAUAGCGAAAGCUAGUUGCAUUUAAUUUUAAAAUUGGUGCAGUCUUGAUUCUAUCUUAUAAAGUUCUGGGUAGGUUAUGAUGAUGACAUUUCCUAUCCAUAGGUCUUGACCAAAUUACGUGCCAGCAGUCGCGGUAACACGUAGAAGACGAGUGUUAUUCAUCUUUAAUAGGUUUAAAGGGUACCUAGACGGUAAAUCAAGUCCAAAAAAGGAUACUAAUUUUCUAGAGUUAUAUGUGAGGGGGCUCUAAAGUACUGAUAAGUGUAGAGAUGAAAUUCUUUGAUACAAUCU
rnacentral:rRNA from 1 species